CAAUCCUCAGAUCUCAGCCUCCUGGGUAGCUAGGAUUACAGGCAUGAGUUUUGGAUUUUUAAAAAUAGAUUUCUAUGUGCACAAAAUGACAGAACCUAGAAAGUUCUUAAGUCCCUCAGUUCCACUCAGUAUACAAAGAGUGUGAGUCCAGCAAAGAAAGUCAAACUUCCAGUGAUGUCAUAGGAUGGCCAGGUGACAUCAUAGGGCGGUUUGAUCACAUCACAGGAUGCCUUGGUGACAUCCUAUAAUGCCCUGUUGGCAUCAGGGGGUAUCUUAGUGAUGUCAUAGGAUAUCGUGGUGAUGUCAUAGGAUGGUUCCGUUUUGACACAUACUUUGCUUUUCCAGAUGGACUCGUUUUGUACUUUUCCCAAAAUACCCGCAUUAUGGAUUUAAUAACUCUGGGCUUAACGUUAUUGUUGUGGCAAAUUUGUGUGCUCCCAAAACAAAUUUUGAAUUUAGCAUCAAGCUUAAGCGUUCUUUCAGGGGCCGUUUUCUCCUGCAAACCUGGGUCUGGACUGGGCAGACUCUAUCACCGUGAAGAAGUCUUCUCCUUGGAGCCAACGUUAGUCCAAGCAUAGAAGCAGAUGUUAGUCAGCAAGCAUAGUCCUUGUUUGCCUUUCUGUACAUUUCAAUCGCAGCUUAUCUGAAGACUCUCUGAAGAAUGCCUCUGGUCAUGGGCACAGACACAGAUAGACACAGCAGCCACACCCUAAGGCGGGCCAGCGGGCAUGAGUGGCAGGGCUGAGAAGCUGCCCCUUCUCUGUGAGACAGACACUCCCUGGAAAUCCUUCUGAAAGCUUGUGUUCACUCUGAACACAAACAGUUAGCCUAUGCUGUUAUCCCGGCGUUCCGCAGAGCAUGAGAUUUUCAGUGAACUCACUUUUGUGUUUACAACACAGUGGUCACAGCUCAUGAUAUCUCCACACAGCUAAGAAUGUACAAUUUUUACACAGGAGACAUACCAUCUGGUGUUUUCUUUGUUAUUUUUAUCCAUUGCUCCUCAAGAGGAAUUAUUCUUCAUAAUGUCUUAGGAAGAUACUCACUAAUUAAAUCUACCAAGACUGGCAAAAAAAAAGGAAGUAGGGUAAGAAAGAAGGACAGAGAAAAGAUGAACACAAGCAAACCAAUUUAAAAAAUAAUAGCUAAUGAAAUAAGCAAUUUAAAUGUUGGGUUUUCCUAAAGGCAUUUACAAGUUGUAAUAUAAC